rnacentral:lncRNA from 1 species
AGUAUGGGGAAGGAAGAUUGGUGGAAUGGAGCUUAGGAGUUUCGGUUUCAAUAAAUUGCCACAAACCAAAUUGAAAGGUUAGCUUCAUUCUAAAUGUUAACUGUGAGUCAAUAGUUUUAAUGUAAUCAUCAUUGUGUUAAAUGUCAAUGAUUUCAGUUAAUUUUUUUAAUGUAGAAAUACUCCUGUUCUGAUUCUUCAUGUAACUUUAUAUUGAAUCACACUUUCAUGAGUUAAGGGUGAGGAAGCCGUUGCCAAGCCUCCCCAACUGCAUCAAACCCAGUUUCAUGUACUGGUAAGUAGUAAUUAUACGGUUAAGGGAAAAAAAAAAAAACCUAUCUUCACUCCAUACACAGGUUGUUUUAAUAUGAAUUAUGGGCCAGAUGAUAUUUGAAAACCUGGGUUUUUGUUUUUUUUUUUUUGUUUUGUUUUUUUAAGACUAGAAGUAUCUUUCAUUGUUUAGGAGACUACUUAAAACUUCUUAAAUGUCAGAUGAUUUUAUUAGCUGUCACGUAAUUAAUAUUCUGUUGAAGAUUUGGAAAUAAAUAUCAUUAUUCUUUUGAGAGUGAUUUUUAAAGAUAGGUCAAAUAUUUUAACUUACAUGCACAAUUAGGGUAUGUAGAAAAUUUCAAGCCACACUUCUAGUAUAGCAAAGAUACAUUCUGUUUUUAAGAAUACCUAAUGCAUAUGACAGUUUUAUUCUCUUAUUCAUCCCACUAUCCAGCAAUUAGCAAUCUUAAUUUUGCAGUUUUCUAUCUAAAACUUCAAUCUUAUAUUCUUUGCUUGUUAGAAAAUUUAAUUUAAUGAAAUCAUAAUGAUUUUCUCUAAAGUAGAAAGAUCCUUGGGGCUUGUUUAUAAAAUAUAGCCAUCUAAUAUUGUCCCUGAGCCUGGCUCCAACAAUCCUUUCUCCCCCUCUUCUGAAAGAUUCCUGAGUUCAAGAUUCCUGAAUUCCACCUAACAUUCGCUGUGGGUCUCUGCAUCUCUUCCCAUCAGUUGCUAGAUGAAGUCUCUCUGAUGACAACUAGGCUAGGUACCAAUCUCUGACAAUAGCAGACUAUCAUUAUGAGUCAUUCCACUGUCUUUUUUUUUUCCAGAUAUGAUUGAUUCAGUGCUAAGUCUCUGGGGUAUCCAGCCUCUGGGUCCUGGGUCCUGUCCUUCUAGGCAGUGUCAGGCAUGGGACUCAAUCUGGAAAAGCCAUUGGUUGACUACUCCCACAAUUUCUGUACCAUCUUUAUCCCAGCACAUCUUGUAGGCAGGAAACAUUGUACUUCAAAAGUUUUGUGGCUGGGUUGGUAUCCCAAUCGCUCCACUUGGAGUUUUGUAUGGUUACAAGAGAUGGAUUGUUCAGGCUCCAUAUCCCCCACUGCUAAGAGUCUUAGCUAGUUCACCAUUGUAGAUUCCUGGGAGUUUCCAUUGCACUAGGAUUUUAGCUAGACUCUGAGAUGUUUCCCAAUUCCAGGUGUCUGUCUCUUCCAGUUCUCUCUCUCUCUCUCUCUCUCUCUCUCUCUCUCUCUCUCUCUCCAUCAUCACCCCCACCUGACUGACACUACAUAAAAAAAUAAACAAAUAACC